rnacentral:rRNA from 1 species
AUUGAACGCUGGCGGCAGGCCUAACACAUGCAAGUCGAACGAGUGGAGGAAGGGUGAGUAAUGUCUGGAAAACUGCCUGAUGGAGGGGGAUAACUACUGGAAACGGUAGCUAAUACCGCAAACCACCAGAUGUGCCACGAUGGGAUUAGCGUGUUGGUGGGGUAACGGCUCACGAAGGCGAAGAUCCCUAGCUGGUCUGAGAGGAUGACCAGCCACACGGGAACUGAGACACGGUCCAGACUCCUACGGGAGGCAGCAGUGGGGAAUAUUGCACAAUGGGCGCAAGCCUGAUGCAGCCAUGCCGCGUGUAUGAAGAAGGCCUGCGGGUUGUAAAGUACUUUCAGCGGGGAGGCGUUACCCGCAGAAGAAGCACCGGCUAACUCCGUGCCAGCAGCCGCGGUAAUAC